AUUGAACGCUGGCGGAAUGCUUUACACAUGCAAGUCGAGCGGCAGCGCGGGGGCAACCCUGGCGGCGAGCGGCGAACGGGUGAGUAACAUAUCGGAACGUACCCCGUCGUGGGGGAUAACACAGCGAAAGCUGUGCUAAUACCGCAUACGACCUGAGGGUGAAAGCGGGGGAUCGCAAGACCUCGCGCGAUGGGAGCGGCCGAUAUCGGAUUAGCUUGUUGGUGAGGUAAAGGCUCACCAAGGCGACGAUCCGUAGCUGGUCUGAGAGGACGACCAGCCACACUGGAACUGAGACACGGUCCAGACUCCUACGGGAGGCAGCAGUGGGGAAUUUUGGACAAUGGGGGCAACCCUGAUCCAGCCAUUCCGCGUGAGUGAAGAAGGCCUUCGGGUUGGUUAAAGUACGUCUUUCUAGCAGG
rnacentral:rRNA from 1 species